rnacentral:rRNA from 1 species
CUGGCGGCGUGCUUAACACAUGCAAGUUCGAAACGAUGAAGCUCUAGCUUCGCUAGGUGGAUUAGUCGGCGAACGGGUGAGUAAUACGUGAGUCGACCUACCUUUGACUCUGGGAUAAGCCUGGGAAACUGGGUCUAAUACCGGAUACGACCAAUCUCCGCAUGGGGUGUUGGUGGAAAGCGUUAUGGAGUGGUUUUAGAUGGGCUCACGGCCUAUCAGCUUGUUGGUGAGGUAAUGGCUUACCAAGGCGACGACGGGUAGCCGGCCUGAGAGGGUGACCGGCCACACUGGGACUGAGACACGGCCCAGACUCCUACGGGAGGCAGCAGUGGGGAAUAUUGCACAAUGGGCGCAAGCCUGAUGCAGCGACGCCGGCGUGAGGGAUGACGGCCUUCGGGUUGUAAACCUCUGUUAGCAUCGAAGAAGCGAAAGUGACGGUAGGUGCAGAGAAAGCGCCGGCUAACUACGUGCCAGCAGCCGCGGUAAUACGUAGGGCGCGAGCGUUGUCCGGAAUUAUUGGGCGUAAAGAGCUUGUAGGCGGUUGGUCGCGUCUGCUGUGAAAGGCUGGGGCUUAACCCUGGUUUUGCAGUGGGUACGGGCUAACUAGAGUGCAGUAGGGGAGACUGGAAUUCCUGGUGUAGCGGUGGAAUGCGCAGAUAUCAGGAGGAACACCGAUGGCGAAGGCAGGUCUCUGGGCUGUAACUGACGCUGAGAAGCGAAAGCAUGGGGAGCGAACAGGAUUAGAUACCCUGGUAGUCCAUGCCGUAAACGUUGGGCACUAGGUGUGGGGGACAUUCCACGUUUUCCGCGCCGUAGCUAACGCAUUAAGUGCCCCGCCUGGGGAGUACGGCCGCAAGGCUAAAACUCAAAGAAAUUGACGGGGGCCCGCACAAGCGGCGGAGCAUGCGGAUUAAUUCGAUGCAACGCGAAGAACCUUACCAAGGCUUGACAUAUACUGGACUGCGUCAGAGAUGGCGUUUCCCUUCGGGGCUGGUAUACAGGUGGUGCAUGGUUGUCGUCAGCUCGUGUCGUGAGAUGUUGGGUUAAGUCCCGCAACGAGCGCAACCCUCGUUCUAUGUUGCCAGCACGUGAUGGUGGGGACUCAUAGGAGACUGCCGGGGUCAACUCGGAGGAAGGUGGGGAUGACGUCAAAUCAUCAUGCCCCUUAUGUCUUGGGCUUCACGCAUGCUACAAUGGCCGGUACAGAGGGUUGCGAUACUGUGAGGUGGAGCUAAUCCCUAAAAGCCGGUCUCAGUUCGGAUUGGGGUCUGCAACUCGACCCCAUGAAGUCGGAGUCGCUAGUAAUCGCAGAUCAGCAACGCUGCGGUGAAUACGUUCCCGGGCCUUGCACACACCGCCCGUCA